rnacentral:rRNA from 1 species
UUUAUGGAGAGUUUGAUCCUGGCUCAGGAUAAACGCUGGCGGCGUGCCUAAUACAUGCAAGUCGAGCGAACGGACGAGAAGCUUGCUUCUCUGAUGUUAGCGGCGGACGGGUGAGUAACACGUGGA